GAGCGAUUUGAUUUAUCAAAGAGCGGCGAACGGCUGAGUAACGCGUGGGAACUUACCUUAAGCUCGGGGAUAACUAUCCGAAAGGAUAGCUAAUACCCGAUAGUCCCUUCGGGGUAAAGAUUUAUCGGCUUAAGAGAGGCCCGCGUCUGAUUAGUUUGUUGGUGGGGUAAAGGCCUACCAAGACUACGAUCGGUAGCUGGUCUGAGAGGAUGACCAGCCAGACUGGGACUGAGACACGGCCCAGACUCC
rnacentral:rRNA from 1 species